UGGGGAAUAUUGCACAAUGGGCGCAAGCCUGAUGCAGCCAUGCCGCGUGUAUGAAGAAGGCCUUCGGGUUGUAAAGUACUUUCAGCGGGGAGGAAGGCGGUGCGGUUAAUAACCGCGCCGAUUGACGUUACCCGCAGAAGAAGCACCGGCUAACUCCGUGCCAGCAGCCGCGGUAAUACGGAGGGUGCAAGCGUUAAUCGGAAUUACUGGGCGUAAAGCGCACGCAGGCGGUCUGUUAAGUCAGAUGUGAAAUCCCCGGGCUUAACCUGGGAACUGCAUUUGAAACUGGCAGGCUUGAGUCUUGUAGAGGGGGGUAGAAUUCCAGGUGUAGCGGUGAAAUGCGUAGAGAUCUGGAGGAAUACCGGUGGCGAAGGCGGCCCCCUGGACAAAGACUGACGCUCAGGUGCGAAAGCGUGGGGAGCAAACAGG
rnacentral:rRNA from 1 species